AACGAACGCUGGCGGCGUGCCUAACACAUGCAAGUCGAGCGGGAAAAUUCCCUUCGGGGAGUGAGUACAGCGGCGAACGGGUGAGUACAACGUAGGUAACCUACCCCCGAGCCUGGGAUAACCUGUCGAAAGACGGGCUAAUACCGGAUAAGACCACGAAAGCUCCGGCUUUUGAGGUAAAAGGUGGCCUCUGCUUGCAAGCUACCACUUGAGGAUGGGCCUGCGCGCCAUUAGCUAGUUGGUGAGGUAACGGCUCACCAAGGCGAAGAUGGCUAGCUGGUCUGAGAGGAUGGCCAGCCACACUGGGACUGAGACACGGCCCAGACUCCUACGGGAGGCAGCAGUGGGGAAUAUUGCGCAAUGGGCGAAAGCCUGACGCAGCGACGCCGCGUGGGUGAUGAAGGCCUU
rnacentral:rRNA from 1 species